rnacentral:lncRNA from 1 species
UGGGGCCCACAUCAUCCUAACCACCACCCAUUUCUCAAUCUAAGGGCUAAAAAAUCAAUAGCACCAAUAGCUUGGUGCUUUUAAUAGUAUUCCAACCUAGUUAUAUAUAUAUAUAUAUAUAUAUAUAUAGUGCGCCUGGUAUGCUUCUGGAAGCACGGAGCGCUCCGUGCUUCCAAGUUGUUUUCGAUGUUCGGACUUUCGAAUCGACGAUCGGCUCCGUUAGACUUGAUCUAGAGUAUUUGAAGUAUCUAGAAAAUAAAUUUUGCGAUUUUUCGAUAUCAUUUGCCUAGUGAUCGAAGGGGCUCAAAAUCAAUAAUUUUAAUGGCCGUGGUGAGCCGUUUGCAAGUUUAACGGUGUAGAAAUAUUCAAAUCACAUGAAAUUUUGAUAAAAAAUUCUUUAUACCAUAUAAAACAAGAUCAAUAUCUUUAAUCUAAAAUUUUAAUGUCAUAUCAUCAUAUUUUGUAAGAUUUUUAUUUUUAGCCGUUGAUUUUGAGCCACUUCGAUCACUAGGCAAAUGAUAUCGAAAAAUCGCAAAAUUUAUUUUCUAGGUACUUCAAAUACUCUAGAUCAACUCUAUUGGAGCCGAUCGUCGAUUCAAAAGUCCGAACAUAGAAAACAACUUGGAAGCACGGAGGGCUCCGUGCUUCCAGAAGCAUACCAGCCCUCUAUAUAUAUAUAUAUAUAUAUAUAUAUAUAUAUAUAUAUAUAUAUAUAUAUAUAUAGUCCGGCUACUAUACUACGAUCGUCCUCGUACUCAUAAGUUGUUUUCGAUGAUAGAGCUUCCGAAUCGACGAUCCACACCGUUAAAUACUAUGUAGAGCAUUUAAAACUUCUAGAAAUCAAAUUUUAUAAUGUUUCGAUAUCAUAUACCUUACGAUCAAAAGCUCACAAAAUUGACAAUUUUUAACGGCCGGUACGAGAUAUUUGCUAGUUUAACGGUGAAAAAGAAUCAGAAUAGGUUGAAUUUUUGAUAGAAACUUCUAUUCACUAUCUAAAUAAAGAUCAAUAACUCUGAUCUUAAAUUAAAGGAUCCGAUCAUCCAUUUUUAGGAUGUCGUUCAAUUUUAAUCGUUCAUUUUAUACUCGCUUGAUGGACUUUAUAAUGAUUUCGAAAAAUUACGAAAUUUAUUUUCUAGAAGUUCAAAUACUCUAGAUCAUGUUUAACGGUGUUGAUCGUCGAUUCGAAAAGCCCAACAUCGAAAACAACUUAGGAGUACGAAAGGCUCUAUACUCAUAAGAGUAUAGUUGUCACGCCCUGGAUUACCACGUUUCCUCAGGCACGCCAACAGACCCGCCGUACACAUAGAAAUUUUUCGUGUAUACGAAGCAAUAGCCAAAACCUGCAAACAGAUAUAGCUAUGACCAGAGGUAAAGAGCUGCUAAAAAAAAAACUGAAACAUAUCUAUAUAAAUAAAAGGCCACUGUACAUACAAGCUCCAAAAGUACAACCACAUCCCAAUGAGUACAACUAAAGAAUGCAUGUACAUGGUAACAUCCAAAAAUACCUCUGUGGGGGUGCUCCUCUAGGAAAAAGGACCGGGGAAGAUAGGGAUCUAGCUCGCGACUCCCUUUCCAUUGUCAGAAUCAACAGCAGCAGCAGACGAAGGCUCUGCAAAAAGGUAGCAACAACUGGAUGUGAGAACUACUGCAAAACAGAGUAGUCCUCAGUGGGUACCGUCACCCACCAUAACGGCCUACCCACUAAGUCUACAGUAAUAUGUGCAAAGGAUAGUAAGGAAAGCUGGAAAGAACUCUACAGCUAUAUGCCACUAUACUAUCGCUAACCAACACAGGCUAUCUGUAGACAUAGACAUGCAUCACACCGACCCAAUCUCACUAGGGCUGCCCAAACGGACCCACCCUGCCUGUAUCCAAGCUAUGCAGUACACCACCCACGGGGAUGGUCGUUCCAAGAAAACUAUCCAAACAGGACUGCUGCGACAUCAACACAAGUAAAGCCUUACUCCGGAGCGGCACUUGUGGGAGCGACCCAACCGAGUAUGCAAGCAUGUCUCUAUUGAGCUCAAUCAUGCUCACAUAGGCUAUAGUCAAUGCAAAUGGGUCAAACUAGUCUAACAACCAAAACUCACGUGCCCUCGGCACAAUCUGAUAGAAGAUGUAAACAUUUUGGUCCAACGUCAGUCCCGACGACAUCCGACAGUACGAAACUGUCCAAACUCUAUUGUAAAAUGAGUUCGGCCCCUCAGCACGAGGGUAAUCUUAACCUACACUAAUCUGGGUAUCCACAACGCACUAACAGCGGUGAUACAAAAGAACAACAGCUCUUGAAAUUAAUUCGGUUAACUUUUCGAAAAGUUACAGUGUAGAUUUAAUCAGUUUUCUCCUAAGUCAAAUCCCAGUUCAGCAUAUAUAAUUUAUCUAAAAUUCUAAGAGUAUGCUCCAAACUCAGAUUUCAUAUAAACAUGCAAAUCCAUAAAUUCGAGCUACUAAAUAUGAUGAAUAAAACAACGAAAUACGUGCUGACAUCUCUAUGACUUAGAAGGAAUUCCGACGAUUUCGGUAAAUAUUAACCCACCUAGUAUGCAAAUCCGAUCACAAAUUAAAGUGAAACUCUGCGGUCACGUGCCUUCAGUCCCGAAUCACCAACAAGUAUAAGAAAAUCCAACAAAUCCCUGUUGAAUCGAGCUGAAUUAAAAAUCGAAUAAAAAAUCCAUCAAAUGUCUAUUCGGUUCGGAAAAAUUCAAAUUCAGCAUUAUUCACCUCAAACCAGUAGUUGCAACUUGAUUCGCAGGUUCCUUUCUACCUCAGGAACACCCUAGAAGCAAAGUGGUUGGCUGAAUAGUACAAUCUAACAAGUAAAAAUAAUCAAAGGGUUAAAUCUAAUGGUGGAAAACUCGAUACCACCAAACCCUUGGUGCUAUCGAUAGUAUCCCAGCCGGACUCUAUAUAUAUAUAUAUAUAUAUAUAUAUAUAUANAAGGGGGGAAAAGAAUUGGGGGAAAAUAAAUAAAAAAAGAUAAAAAGAUGGUACCUUUUUUCUCCUCCUAGGGUUUCGAUCUUAUAGGGUCUCUUUGUGAUUACCCAUGGCUGGUUCUGAGUAGAGGAAAAUGCGUAGUGGAUUAAAAUGGGGAGAGAGAGAGAGAGAGAGAGAGAGAGAGAGAGAGAGAGAGAGAGAGAGAGGAGAGAGAGAGAGAGAGAGUUGAGCUAGAAUGCUAUCGAUAGCAAACGUGUUCCGUUGCCACCAAUUUAUUUUCGAUGAUGGAGCCUUUAAAUCGACAAUCGGCACCAUUGAAUAUGAUCUAUACCACUUGAAGUAUCUAGAAACCAAAUUUUAAAUCUUUUCGACAGUAUUGACUUAAUGUUUAAAGGGCUUCAAAAUUUGUAAUUUUAAUGAGAAUUAUGAGGCGUUUUCUCGUUUAACGGUGUAAAGCUAUUCAAAUUAAUUGAAUUUUGGUUAGAAAAUUCUUUAAACUAUAUAUUUAGAACAAGAUCUAUAUUCUCGAUCAUGAUUGCAAAAUUUCUAUCAUCACUUUUUAGAGGAUAUUUAUUUUCAGCCGUUCAUUUUUACGCCAACUUGAUGGACAAGAGAACAAUAUCGAAAAAGUAUAAAAUUUAAUUUCUAGAUAUUUCAAAUGGUAUAGAUUAUUUUCAACAGUGCCAAUCGUUGAUUUGGAGGCUCCAUCAUCGAAAAUAAAUGGGUGGCAACGGAGCACGUUUGUUACCGAUUGUAUUCCAGCUCAACUCUCUCUCUCUCUCUCUAUAUAUAUAAAGAGAGAAAGAGAGAGAGAGAAAGAGAGAGAGAGAGAGAGAGAGAGUAGGACUACUAUACUAUUAUGAGCAUUGGGCCCUUCGUACUCAUAAGUUGUUUUCGAUGAUGGAGCUUCCAAAUCGACGAUCCACUCCGUUAAACAUGAUAUAGAGUAUUUGAAACUUCUAGAAAAUAAAUUUCGUAAUUUUUCAAAAUCAUAAUAAAGUCCAUCAAGCGGGCAUAAAAUGAAUGGUCAAAAUCGAAUGAUGUCUUAAAAAUGGAUGAUCGGAUCUUUCAAUUUAAGAUCGGAGUUAUUGAUCUUCAUCUAGGUAGUGAAUAGAAUUUUCUAUCAAAAAUGUAACCUAUUCCGAUUCUUUUGCACCGUUAAACUAGCAAGUAUCCUAUACCGACCGUUAAAAAUUGUUAAAUUUGUGAGCUUUUGAUCCUAAGGUAAAUGAUGUCGAAAAAUUAUGAAAUUUGAUUUCUAGAUUUUCAAAUGCUCUAGAUAACAUUUAACGGUGUGGAUCGUCAAUUCGGAAGCUCUAUCAUCGAAAAUAACUUAUGAGUGCGAGGGCGAUCGUACUCAAAAUAUAUAUAUAUAUAUAUAUAUAUAUAUAUAUAAUAUAUACAUAUAUAUGUAAUAAUAUACAUAUAUAUAUGAUAUAUAUACAUAUAUAUAUACCAUAGUCGGUUAUACAUAUAUAUAUAUAUAUAUAUAUGUAAUAUAUGUAUAACCAGACUAUAUAUAUAUAUAUGUACUAUUAUAUACACUAUUAAUAUUAUAUAUAUACAUAUAUAUGUAUAUAUAUACAUAUAUAUAUGUAUAUAAUAUACAUAUAUAUAGCAUAUAUAUGUAUAUAUAUGUAUAUACAUAGUAUACUAAUAUAUAUGUAUAUAUAUAUUUAUAUACAUUAUAUAUGUAUAUAUUAUAUACAUAUAUUCAUGUAUAAUGUAUAUAUGUUAUACAUAUAUACAUUGUUAUUCAUUAGCAUAUAAUAUUGUAUAUAUAUACAUGUAUAUAUGUAUAUAAUAUAUAGUGUAUAUAAUGUAUAUACAGAAUACAUGUAUAUAUGUAUAUCCAUAUAUACAUAUAUAUGUAUAUAGUAUAUAUCAUAUAUAACAUAUACUACAUAUAUAUUGUACAAUAUAUACAUACACUAUAUAUGUAUAUACAUAUUAUACAUAUAUAUACAUAUAUAUAUAUAUAUAUUACAUAUACACAUAUACAUGUACAUAUAUAUAUAUAUAUAAUCAAUACAUAUACAUACAAUAUACAAUAAUAUAUAGCAUAUAAUAUAUACAAUAUAUAUCAUACAUAGCAUAUAACUAAUAUAUACAUAUAUACAUAUGUAUAUACAUAUAUAUACAAUAUAACAUAUAGUAUACAUACAUAUACACUAUAUAUACAUAAUGCAUACAUAUACAUAUAUAUAAGUAUCAAUAUAUAAUGUAUACAUAUAUCAUAUAUAUAUGUAUACAUAUAUAUCAUAUAUAUAAUGUAUACAUAUAUAAUAUACAUAUUACAUAUACAUUAACUGUAUAUGUAUAUAUAUGUAUAUGUAUAUGUAUAUGUAUAUUAUAUGUAUAUAUAUAUAUGUAUAUAUAUAUAUUAUGUAUAUGUAUAUACAACAUAUAUAUAUAUAAUAUAUAUAUGUAUAUUAACAUAAUAUAUGUAUAUUACAUAUAUGUAUAUAUGUAUAUAGUACAUAUAUGUAUAUAUGUAUAUAUAGCAUAAUAUGUAUAUAUGUAAAUAUACAUAUAUGUAUUAUGUAUAUAUACAUAUGAUACAUAUAUGUAUAAUAUUUUAUUAUUGUAUAAUGAUAUAUAUAUAUACAUAUGUAUAUAUAUAUCUAUAUGUUUUUUUUUUAACAAAAUACAUAUAUAUAUAUAUAUAAUGUACAUACAUAUAUAUAUAUAUAUUGUAGCAUACAUAUCAUAUAUAUUAUGUACAUAUAUGUAUAUACAUAUAAUAAUGAUAUACUAUACUUAUAUACAUAUAUAUAAUAUAUAUAUAUAUAUAUAUAUAUAAUACAUACAUAUAAUAUAUAUAUAUACAUAAUAUAUAUAUAUAAUAUAUGUAUAUAUAUGUAUUAUAUGUAUAUAUCAUAUACAGUAUAUGUAUAUAUAAUAUACAUAUAAUGUAUAUACAUAGAUAUCAUAUUAUCAUAUAUAAAUACCAUAUAUAUAUAUAUAUAUACAUAUACAUAUACAUACAUAUACAUAUACAUAUAUAUACAUAUACAUAUACAUAUACAUAUACAUAUAUAUAUAUACAUAUACAUAUACAUAUACAUACACACACACACACACACACACACACACACACACACACACACACACACACACACACACACACACACACACAUAUAUAUAUAUAUAUAUAUACAUAUACAUGUAUACAUAUACAUGUAUACAUAUAUUUACAUUUAUACAUAUAUAUACGGGGCAACUGCUUAAAUACCCCUGAAAAGUUUUCCGACUUUCCGAUUUACCCCUCUUAGGAGGCUAAUAUUGAAAAUACCCUUUGUACAUUCCAACAUAUUUCUAAUAUACCCCUAGAGUUAAAAUUUGUUAAUUAACCUUGUUAUCUCUGUAAAAUUACUAUUUUGCCCUUUCAAAUAUACCCUUCCACCAUCACUGACUUUCUUAUUUGCCCUUAAAGUCAGGGGCACAAAAAAUAUUUUGACUUUUAGUCUUUUCCAAUAUACCCCUCUUCCGUCACCAACAUUUUUUAUUUGCCCUUAAGUUAAGGGCAAAAUUGGCAUUUUAUUUUUUUUUUAACUGUGAUAGAUAUUUAACUCACGUUUAACCCAAGUUAACUUAACAGCAGAUAACUGCGGGGGUAUUUUGCAAUAACGAUGAAACAUAUGAGGGGUAUUUUAGAAAGAAAAAAAAGGGAUAAAUCGGAUAUUUUCAAACGUAUGAGGGAUAUAUAGGCAAUUAUCCCUAUAUAUAUACAUGCAUGCAUACAUAUAUGUAUACAUGCAUACAUACAUGCAUACAUAUAUGCAUACAUGCAUAUAUAUAUAUAUAUAUAUAUAUAUAGUAAGGCUACUAUGUUUCUGGAAGCACAGAGCCUUCCGUGCUUCCAGGUCGUUUUCCUUGUUGCGACUUUCGAAUCGUCGAUCGGCUCCGUUAAACUUGAUCUAGAGUAUUUGAAGUAUCUAGAAAAUAAAUUAUGUGAUUUUUCGAUAUUAUUUGCCUAGUAAACGAAGGAGCUCAAAAUCAACGGCUGAAAAUAAAAAUCUUGCAAAACGUGAUAAUAUGACAUUAAAAUUUUAGAUCAAAGAUAUUGAUCUUGUUUUAUAUAGUAUAAAGAAUUUUCUAUCAAAAUUUCACGUGAUUAGGAUGUUUCUACACCGUUAAACUUCCAAACGGCUCACUACGGUCAUUAAAAUUAUUGAUUUUGAGCUCCUUCGAUUACUAGGCAAAUGAUAUCGAAAAAUUAUAAAAUUUAUUUUCUAGGUACUUCAAAUACUCUAGAUCAAGUUUAACGGAGCCGAUCGUCCGAUUCGAAAGU